UAAACACACGUGUUAAAUUUUUUGAAUGAGACGGUCGAAUCUAGAUCAAAACGCUAAUGAUGAUAAUAUAGACCAAUUUAAGCGUAAUGAUGAUUUCUCAGAAGAAUUAUCAUCGAAGGUAUCUGCUUUAAAAUCAUUGUCGAUAGAAAUUGGAUCGGAAAUCAAGUAUCAAAAUUCCUUUUUAUCUGACAUGCAUCAAAAUUUUGAAGGAUCUUCAAGCUUAUUGAACUCGUCUAUAAAACGUUUAAAAAAUAUAUCAAAAAUGGGUAAAGAUAAAUUUAUACUCCGUUUACUUUUAUAUUGUUUUAUUAUUUUUUUUAUAUUAUAUUUAUAUAUAAAAUUUAUUUAAUAUAUGUUGAUAAUAUAAUCUUAUAACUGGUUAUACAUAAUAUAUAUAUAUUUUUUUAAAUAUAUAAUUAAAAAUAAAUUAAAAAAUUUUUUAUACCUUAGUUGUUUUAUUUAUCUAAAUCAACCUUUUUUUACCAUUUUAUAUUAUUGAAUUAUAAAAUCUUGUUUAUUAUUUAUCCAAAAUUUCACACUUAAAAUUUUUAUGUGUCAAAACUUAUUUAUUUUAACAAAAAUAUUUUAAAUAUGCUUUUAUUUAGUGAUUAUGCUAUUCACAAAUUUUAGUAUUAUCAAAAUUUCAUAAGUGUUUGUUUUGCAGAGCAAUCAUUUUCAGGACUCAUCUUAAAUGAUAUUUACAUUCUACAAUGAAACAGCAACAACAAUAUCCCAAUUUUAAAUGUUUAUAAAGAAGA